rnacentral:rRNA from 1 species
AUUGAACGCUGGCGGCAGGCUUAACACAUGCAAGUCGAGCGGGGGAAGGUAGCUUGCUCCCGGACCUAGCGGCGGACGGGUGAGUAAUGCUUAGGAAUCUGCCUAUUAGUGGGGGACAACAUCUCGAAAGGGAUGCUAAUACCGCAUACGUCCUACGGGAGAAAGCAGGGGAUCUUCGGACCUUGCGCUAAUAGAUGAGCCUAAGUCGGAUUAGCUAGUUGGUGGGGUAAAGGCCUACCAAGGCGACGAUCUGUAGCGGGUCUGAGAGGAUGAUCCGCCACACUGGGACUGAGACACGGCCCAGACUCCUACGGGAGGCAGCAGUGGGGAAUAUUGGGCAAUGGGGGGAACCCUGAUCCAGCCAUGCCGCGUGUGUGAAGAAGGCCUUAUGGUUGUAAAGCACUUUAAGCGAGGAGGAGGCUACUUUAGUUAAUACCUAGAGAUAGGGGACGUUACUCGCAGAAUAAGCACCGGCUAACUCUGUG